UACGUAGGGUGCAAGCGUUAAUCGGAAUUACUGGGCGUAAAGCGUGCGCAGGCGGUUCGCUAAGACAGAUGUGAAAUCCCCGGGCUCAACCUGGGAACUGCAUUUGUGACUGUAGAGCUGGAGUGCGGCAGAGGGGGAUGGAAUUCCGCGUGUAGCAGUGAAAUGCGUAGAUAUGCGGAGGAACACCGAUGGCGAAGGCAAUCCCCUGGGCCUGCACUGACGCUCAUGCACGAAAGCGUGGGGAGCAAACAGG
rnacentral:rRNA from 1 species